CCUCUCCCUUUGGUUUGGACCUGGCUAUAACUGCCACCAACUAGCAGUUGGAGAAGACCUGUGGAUGAUCGGCUUGGAUACUGAGGGUAUCCACCAUAUAGAAGAUUGGAUUAGAUACAAUUAAAAAGGUUUUCAUAAUGUCAGCUUUUCUAGUUGAUGUUGCCGGACUACGGGUCUCCAGGAUUGUGACGCUAAACUGGCAUCGCUAUAGAGGUCGUCAGCUCCGAGUUCUGUUAGUUAGACUGAGGGGCAAUAUGCGGGCCCGGGCCCAUCCCUACAGACGACCGGCCAUCUAAACGGUUCUUUAUUGCUGGACUGGAAUCCAUCUUAGGCAAUUGUGAUAUUAUGUAUUCAGUCAAUGUAAAGAAGAAGCUAUAGAAGCUUAGACAACAACUCUCAUCAUCUUGUUAGUAGUUCCUCCAGUCCACUGAUAAUAAAGAAUGAUUCUGAUCACA